GCGCGGGUCUUUCUUUUACAGGGGACUGUUCAUUUCAGGUACAGGCUGGUUGUGAACGCUGUUGAUGCUGGGUCUAUUGAUCCAGCCGCGGCUACGUUCGCGCAGUUUACGCUAUUUUGUCAUCAGGCAGAGGCUAUCAUCGGGGAAGCUGCGGUGUUUCUUGUGGCCAGCGCGAAGGGGCAGGUGGACUAUAUGCCCGCUGGUCUGGCUGCAGUCGUGGGCAAGAAGCUUACCGUUGUUGUGACGCCUAAGGAUACUUCCUUGGAUGCAGACUACCUGUACUUUCAGGUUUAGUCGUUAGAACAGGUGGCACAGCCGGGUCGCGUUCCGCUCUUAAAGCUGCAUACAUCCGAUGAGGCUGGCGUCUCCGACCAGUCGGGCGUCUCGGAUGGAGGCUCUCGGCUGGGUGCUCCGCGGUGGCGUCUUCGUUGCUUCCUUCGGUUGAAGGUGGACCGGUGGUUGAUAGCGAGCCAUGCUUAUCCGUGGAGCGGGACGCUGCCUGUGCCGUUCUCGAACAGCGUGGCACCAAGCGCAAGGGGUUGGCAAGUAUGGUGAGCCCUGCACAGGCUGAUCAGGCAUCCGGCUUGGAAGGAGAUGCUCGCUGGGUUGGUCUGCCAGAGAUGGUUACGACGCGGUCCACGGUGUGCAAUCCAUGUAUUGCGAACCGUCUUCCUCUGUGGAGCAGGAGGUUGCCGGCCGUGUUACCAAGGGUAGGGGGACCGGUGCAAAGGGGGUUCGCGGGGCGAAAAGCAAGAGCGUGGCCAAGGAGCCGGUGUCUGCUGCUUCUUAGGUGUGUUAUUUCGUUCGUGGUCUGUCGAUUGCUGGUUCGAUGUUGUUGUACGUCCUCUCGUGCCGGCGUGGUGGUUUGCUCAGUGAUUUCUGCUGGUUCAUGCAUGCUGGUUGCCUGGUUGUGGCUGUCGUUGUUUCGUCCGUGUCUUCGCGGUGGUGUCGUUCUUUCUUGCUAUUCUGUUGUGCUCUCUGCUGCUAUUCCUGUGAUGUACGUAUAUGUUGCUACGUGUUGUAUCUCUGUGUGUUCGUAUGUGUGGCGUUGGUUACAAGAGUUUGUUUUUCAUGUCCCUGCGGGAUCGUUUGUUUCA